GAUUGUUGCAAAGAAUUCCCGAUAGGGCCCACAGGCGUGGGUUUGCCUUGUAACCGAAAACUUUUAGGGGGAAAAUUUUUAUG
rnacentral:sRNA from 2 species